UGAGUAACACGUAUCCAACCUGCCGUCUACUCUUGGACAGCCUUCUGAAAGGAAGAUUAAUACAAGAUGGCAUCAUGAGUUCACAUGUUCACAUGAUUAAAGGUAUUCCGGUAGACGAUGGGGAUGCGUUCCAUUAGAUAGUAGGCGGGGUAACGGCCCACCAGACUCGAUGGAUAGGGGUUCUGAGAGGAAGGUCCCCCACAUUGGAACUGAGACACGGUCCAA
rnacentral:rRNA from 1 species